rnacentral:rRNA from 1 species
UUUAUUACAACGGAGAGUUUGAUCCUGGCUCAGGAUGAACGCUAGCGGCAGGCCUAACACAUGCAAGUCGAACGGUAACAGAUCUAGCUUGCUAGAUGCUGACG